UAGGGAAUCUUCCGCAAUGGGCGAAAGCCUGACGGAGCAACGCCGCGUGAGUGAUGAAGGUCUUCGGAUCGUAAAACUCUGUUAUUAGGGAAGAACAAAUGUGUAAGUAACUAUGCACGUCUUGACGGUACCUAAUCAGAAAGCCACGGCUAACUACGUGCCAGCAGCCGCGGUAAUACGUAGGUGGCAAGCGUUAUCCGGAAUUAUUGGGCGUAAAGCGCGCGUAGGCGGUUUUUUAAGUCUGAUGUGAAAGCCCACGGCUCAACCGUGGAGGGUCAUUGGAAACUGGAAAACUUGAGUGCAGAAGAGGAAAGUGGAAUUCCAUGUGUAGCGGUGAAAUGCGCAGAGAUAUGGAGGAACACCAGUGGCGAAGGCGACUUUCUGGUCUGUAACUGACGCUGAAGUGCGAAAGCGUGGGGAUCAAACAGG
rnacentral:rRNA from 1 species